ACUUGCUGUGGUGCUGUGGGAGGACCAAACCCAGGAAGUCACUGAGAGCUUUUCUCUCUCCACAGGGAAGAGCUGACCUCACUGCAGGAUAACCCUGGAAAAAGUACCCCUGGCUUCCAAGGACAAACAGACCCUUGCACUUCACUGCUGAGCUUUCUACCUGGUGCACACAUAUAGAGAGACUGUGUUGGAGACAGACUGAGGUCUUGUGUGCACAGCAGGCACUUCUGUGGUGGGGCAUCCCCCAAGCCCCUGAAACCAUCUUUAUAUGAAGAAAUGCAGACACACAGGGACAGUCCACCCUGAGGACAGCAGCCAAAGUCAGCACAGGACACAAGCCUCUGGAAGCAGAGAGCAGCCAGAUUUCCACCACCAGGAAGCUAUUCAUCAACUGGAUGUCUUGUUCAGUGCCCCGCCUAUACAUCUGUUUGAAUGAAGCAGGCCUGGGCAUUCAACUUCUGAACCCAGCUUGAAGAAGACCAGGGAUGGAAGAUAAGAAAAGCCCCACAGAGAAGCCUUGACAAGCACCCUGCUUAGUGUUCCUGUCUCCUAAGGUCACUAACUGCUUUCAAAUGACCCUUUCAUUGACUGCCAAGAGCUGCUCCCAUGUGACCCCAGUCUUCCCCAGGAAAGACACUUCUGUUUUCCAAGAGUUGAAGCCUAGGGCCGUCUUGAAGGUGGGAGCUAAUAUGGGAAGACUGUUCACAAUAAACAGACAAUAACAUGUUGCCCAGCAUGUUGCCCAGCGUGCUCAGCCCAGGGACAGAAGCAUCUAGGGCAUGCCAGAUCUAGAGACUGAACAGAUGACGGGCAGAGGGAGCCUGGAAUGGGUGACUGAGUCCAGAGUCUGCAGGGUCCUGGUCACUCCCUAGCCUGGGGGCAUGCUUCCCACACAUGGACGUCUCCUUGGCUGGCACCGAACUAGCUUUCUGGGUGUGUGACUGCAUAGUUACAUGGGCUCUGCUGCUGGGAAGGGUGGGGGUCCUGCUGUCUGAGAUUCUUGGUGAAUUUUAGAUAAGCCUUACAGAUGCACCGGGUCCUGCUAAGCACAGUGACCAGGUCAGUGCCCUGAGCAUCCUCUGUGCUCUCCAGGGGCAAGGUCCAGAAAGGCAGCCACCCACUCUUGGGGAAUACUUGGAGUUUGUCAUUUUUACCAGGGUUGGGAGGCAUGAGGGUGAAUUCACUUGCCCUUUUCAGUUCCCAGGUGGAGAACUGAAACCCGAAGGGGAGGAAUGCAUCCAAGAUACUGAUUCUCACAUGGGACAAUACCAAAUGUUUUUGGCUUUUCAAGGCAGGUUGUAUAGCCUUGGCUAUCCUGGAACUUGCUUUGAGGACCAGGCAGGCCUCUAACUCAGAGAUCCACCUGCAUUUUCCCCCCAAAUGCUGGGAUUAAACCAAAUAUGUGUGUAUAUUUA